GGGUGUGUGAGUGCUGGAUGAUGUGUGUGUGUGAAUGCUGGAUGAUGGGUGUGUGAGUGCUGGAUGAUGGGUGUGUGAGUGCUGGAUGAUGGGUGUGUGAGUGCUGGAUGAUGGGUGUUUGUGUGUGCUGGAUGAUGGGUGUGUGAGUGCUGGAUGAUGUGUGUGUGAAUGCUGGAUGAUGUGUGUGUGUGAAUGCUGGAUGAUGGGUGUGUGAGUG